UGGCGGCCAUAGAGCUUUGGCACCACCUGAUCCCAUCCCGAACUCAGAAGUGAAACAAAGCAUCGCCGAUGAUAGUGUGGGAGGUCCCAUGUGAAAGUAGGUCACUGCCA
rnacentral:rRNA from 1 species